rnacentral:lncRNA from 1 species
GAGAGAUAGAGGAGAGGCUGAUCAACGAAGAGUACAAGAUUUGGAAGAAGAAUACUCCUUUCCUUUAUGAUCUGGUUAUCACUCAUGCCCUCGAGUGGCCUUCACUUACCGUCGAGUGGUUACCAGACAGAGAGGAGCCUCCCGGAAAGGAUUACUCUGUCCAGAAGAUGAUACUGGGAACUCACACCUCAGAGAACGAGCCCAAUUACCUCAUGCUCGCCCAGGUCCAGCUUCCACUCGAGGAUUCUGAGAAUGAUGCUCGCCAUUAUGACGACGAUCGCUCCGAC